AUAGGAAAACAUCAAACAAACACAUACAGCAGGACAUCUGACAAAGUACCAAGUGUCAAGGAUCAUGGAUUGAAUCCUGAAACAGAGGAAGGACACUGAAGGAAAGACUGGGAAAACCUGACUGAGAUAAAGAAAUGGGGGCUCAGAGCAGUCAAGAACAUGCCCCAAGUUAUUCGUCAGUGAGGCGGAAAUUGUGGUGUCCUUGUUUUCUGUGGGUCAGGAGAUCAGAAAUGGUUCUAUUUCAAGGUCUCUCACAGGGCUGCAAUCAAGAUGUUGGCAUGGCUGGGGUCUCAUCUGAAGGCUGGACUGGAGAAG